rnacentral:lncRNA from 1 species
AUUGCUUUUCCUAAAGUAAGGAAAUUAGGGAAAGGAAAACGAAGAUGGAAGAAAUUAGAAAACUAGCAGUUGAUGAAGGCAGGUUCUCAGCUUCCUAGAAUCUUAACACAAAAAUCCGCUCUGUUCAGUGUUCUGCCGUGAGAUUAAAAACAACUGCUUUAGAGAAAACCAUUAUACCUAUUUUUUAAGACCCGAGGAAAUGUCUCAUGGGUUCCCUAACGGCUGUCAGACUACAAGCCAUGCUUGGCUGUUCAGAGAAUAAAUAGCAGGCUUUUAAAAGGAAGAAAGCCUGUACAGAAACAUUUAAUGAAACUUUGAGCAACUGGGAUAAAUUCAAGGGGUUGCAUUCUAAAUAUAGCAAAUAUAAGAAAAACUCAUGAAAAAAUUUUCAGUACCAUCUCUGGAAUGUGUGCAGGUGCUCAUUCAGUUCAGUCUCUCAAUGACAACUACUGUUUAGAAUAACCAACUACAUCUUAUUGAAAGCAUGCAGUUAGGAUUAACAAAAUGAUUACAAACUCCCCAAAGCAUCUGACUAGAAUGUAAAAUUCAGGUGCAUUCAAAUUAUAAUUUAUUUCCCUGAAGCAGGGUCAGUAGCAUGACUUGUCUUAAGCAGAUCGGUGUUUUAUCAGAGUUGGAAUGUUUCAAACUAUGAAAUGCGGGUUUAGCUAACUAUGGAGGUGGUUCUGAAAUGUAAAGUUACCAAUAAACACUGAACACCAGCUGCGAGAAAGGGGAAACUUAUAGGUUCAG